UUAACUUACAUUUGUAUGGAGUUGGAACGUUUGCCUACGUUUGCCGCUAGGGGCGCUGUGCCGACUCCAUACAAAUCGUACUGUA
rnacentral:pre_miRNA from 1 species